AGGACGACGAUGUUUUGGUGGCAUUGGCAACUUCAUCAUGUCCUCACAUAAUGACAGACUUUGACAAGUAGCUGGAUAUAUGUAGAUAUCUAUGAAUGAUCCUCUUCCAUGAUACAAUCAAGAUGGAUCACAUUGCUCUGGAUUGUUCAUUUCACGAUUACGACAACUAGCAGUCCCACCUCAUCAGUUUUGAACCACAAUCUACCGUUUGCAAUAAUGAACACCCAAGAUGACGACAAGCUGUGGUACGAAAGAUAUGCCAGCCUGACUGAAGAGAGCCUGUGAGAUGCUGCCUCGUCAUGAUUUCAAAUACGUCAUCUUCUCAGCGUCUCAACCUAAUUCAGUUCAACCUUGUGAUUCAUUCAAUACUAAGAUGUUAAGGUACGUCUCACGUAGUGAGUUUUAAAUUGUUGUAAAAAGAUCUGUUUACAAAUGGACUCUUAAAAAACCACUCAGACAUCAGUCUUUACUGUUUACAACUUGACAAAGUUUAUAUUUAAUUCAAAGCUAUGAAUUUAAAUCAAACUAAGUGUACAGCGUAAACAGAUCUUUACCAUAUAGAAAAGUUUGCGGUAACACCAUGUAAUAACAAUCUCUAAAUG